rnacentral:rRNA from 1 species
GAUGAACGCUGGCGGCGUGCCUAAUACAUGCAAGUCGAGCGAAGAGACGAGGAUCGUUCUCCUCUUACGUUAGCGGCGGACGGGCGAUUAACACGUGGAUAACCUACCUAUAAGACUUGGAUAAGUUCGGGAAACCGGAGCUAAGACCGGGUAAUAUAUUGAACCGGAUGGUUCAAUAGUGAAGUACGGUUUUGCUGUUACUUAUAGAUGGAUCCUCGCCGCAUGAGCUAGUUGUUAAGGUAACGGGUGACCAAGGCAACGAUGCGUAUCCGAACUGAGAGGCUGAUCGCCCACCUUGGAACUGGGCCACGGUCACGACUCCUACGGGAGGGAGCAGAAGGCAAUCUUCGGCAACGGGCGGAAGUAUGACGGAGCAACGCCGAGCGAGUGAUGAAGGUCUUCCGAUCGUGAAAACGUGUUAUUAGGGAAGAACAACUGUGUACGGAAAUAUACACGUAUUGACGGUACCUAAUCAGAAAGCCACGGCUAACUACGUG